AGGCACUAGCGCACAGUGGACCAUUCGUUUUCUUUGCUAUUUUGGCUAGCAAGCCAAUAAAUCCUUAUGAGUUUGUCUUAUCUACCUUCUUUUAUGUCGAACCUCCUCAGAGUGCAUUUUUAACAAUUUACAUUUUGGAAGGGAAUGAGCAUUUGAUGGAACUUGAGAAUUGAGAAUAAUAUCUUCUCGUUCUUCUUAAGUCAAUUCUCACACAUCAACGAUUGUUUUUUAAAAUCAACCUUUUGAUUUUCCUGUUUGCUUAUGUAGCUUCCCAGUUUAUUGUGAGCUGGAAACGAGAAACUGCAUAGUUCUGCAAAGCCAUUUGCCCAUUUCAGAUAUAAUUGUCCCAGGAAUUUUGACUGUGAAGUGGUCUCCUGAUCUGAAGGAUGUGUGGUGUGAUCUCGAGCCACUGCUAGUUGCCAAUCUUGUGAGGCAAAUGCAGUAAUCGACCAGUCAUAACCACUAGCUUGGGAGCAGGAGUGCUGGAUUGACUGUAACUGCAGUUAAGAUUGGAGGUAAGAUUCGAUGAGUUAAUGAGAGAACCUUCAGAUUGAUUACUGCUUACAAAUGUGGAUGGUUCUAUCCUUCUAGUCC